AUUAUCUCCAACAUUUGGGCAACUGUGUAAAAAUAUUUUUAUUUUGUAAUGUAGUGUCUCAAUCAUAGUGAGUACAUCAAUUAUACCCGUCCAAAUUGGAUAUGCACUACAUUGAACAAGUAUUUCUGUAAUAUAUAAUUAGAAAAAAAUACAGUAAUAGGUCAAUUAUUACACUAACAAAACUCUUUUACUGUUGCCAGGAAUAACUGUACAUUUUCAGCAAGAAAAAACAGGAAUGAUUUUGCUAUGUAAAUAAUAGAUAAAGAACAACAACAACAACAAAAAUCAUAAUCCAGCUAUCUUCUCUCUAGGGAAGAAUAAACCCCUAUAAGCCCAAUUUGUGCAGAAGGAUCCAUUAGGCAGGAAGUUAGUAAGCCAGAGUCUGUCCUAUGACUCUGAAGGGAAUAAGUUAAUAUUGGGAUUUUGGUGUCUUAAAUAAGAAAUUGCAGAAGGAAGGAAAACUAUCAGCAUUUCAUUAUUUCUCAUUAGGAAUUUACUUUAAAAACACUCAAUCUGGACAAACAUUUUGUAAUAUUGGUGUAUAACCUGGAAGAGCACAAAGUGUUGUAAUAAAGCUCUUAUUGCCAGGAGGAUACCUUGCAACUCCCAACAUUUUCACUCUGUAUGUGUUCUGCAUGCCUAAGGGGCUUGCAAAGGUGUGUCAUUUUAAUGCAAACCAGAAAAAAAAUUAAGAUCUGAAAUAUCAUUGGUCUGAAGCCUGGAUUGUCUCUUGAGUUAUGUGAAAGGCAAUUUCUAAAUCCCAGAAGACUGUAACUUUAUGUGUUCUGGAUACAGAUAUGGUACUGCUUUUAUUACAUUAAACAUGAGUCUUGAUAUUGCCACUUUUUAAGGUACAAAGCUGCAUUUCAAUGCCUAGAAGAGAUAAGACAUAUCUCAUAGAGUCAUAGAGUUGGGAGGGACCCUUAAAGGUGAUCUAGUUCAACCCCCCUGCAAUGUAGAGGGGCAGGAUCACCUCCCUUGCCCUGCAGGCCACACUUCUUUUGAUGCAGCCCAGAAUACAGUUGGCUUUAUGGGCUGUGAGGGCAUGUUGCUGGCUCAUGUCCAGCUUCCCAUCCAUCAGUACCCCCAAGUCCUUUUCAGCAGGGCUGUGCUACACCUUUAUAUCCCCCAUCUUAUACUGAUAGCAGGAGUAGCCAUGACCCAUGUUCAAGACCUUGCACUUGGUUUUGUUGAAACUCAUGAGGUUCACUUGAGCAUACUGUUCGAGCCUGUCUAGGUCUCUGAAUGGCAUCCUGUCCCUUGUGUUGACUGCAACACAAAGCUCUAUGCCAUCCGCAAACAUGCUGAGGGUGCAUUUGACCCCACUGUUGAUGUCAUUGAUGAAGAUAUUAAAGAUUUUCAGACCCAGUACUGACCCAGUAAAUAAAUUCUUCCUAAUCUCUAAUUAAGAACUACCCUAUUUUUGUUUAAAUUUUUUGCCACUUCUCCUAUCACUACACUCCUUGACAGAGACUCUCCUCAUCUUUUGUGUCGACCUCCUUUACAUAUUGUAAAUACACUAUAAAGUCUCAUCAGAGCCUUUUCCUGUCUGGACUGAUGAACUCCAACUCUCUCAACCUGUAGGAGAGGUGCUCCAUCCUUCUGAUCAUCUCUAUGGCCCUCCUUUGGACCUGCUCUAACAGCUCCACAUCUUUUUUGUGCCCUUGGUCCCAGAGCUGAAUGCCGUUCUCGAGGUGAGGUCUCAUGAGGGCAGAGUAGAAGGGGAGAAUCACCUCCCUCAACUUUCUACCUACACUUCCUUUGAUGAUACCAAAGAGACAGCUGGCUUUCUGGGAUGCAAGUGCACACUAUGGGCUCAUGUUGAGUACCAUGAACUUGUGCACAUGUUCCUCCAAUGAUCUUGAAACUGAUCUUCGCCUACAGUGUGUGGUAUUUCAUUGUCCCAGUCAUUACCUUUGGAUUCUGUGAAUAUAAAUGCUCUGUGAAUAUAAAGCUUUUUUUUUUUUUUGCAAAUUAUCUAGUUCAAAUUUCCUGGAAUUGCAGUCACAGUCACAGCAGUACACAAGAGAGCAGAGAACUAAAGGUGUGACAGGACUCCAACCAAAGCUACGUGGAGGUGGAUUCUUGAAGGCCCAGUGGCAAUAUGUGUGAGGGGUUCAGUGCUGCCUGUAUUAUAAAUCAGUCUUGUGGAGACAACAGUUUAUCUUAAACUUCUGUAAUAUGAAGAUGGAAAAGCAUGAAGUGAUCUCGUGCAUUUGUGAUGGAUUGUGCACCUGUUUAAUGGAUUUAUUCACAGUCACUGUACAUUAUAUUCAUUCAGGAAGAGUGGUCUAAUCUGUAGAGAGGAAGACUGAUUGUUUAUUUUGUUCUGCCUGCUGCACACUGGUUUGCACUGCGAGCUGCUGGGAACAGAGUUGCUCAGUGGGAAGGCCUUUCUGGACUGUGUGAUGGGGUAGGGAGAGCAAGAAGAGAGGAGAAGAAGACCUCCCAACAAAUUAACUGUCCCUAUCAAGGGGAGAAGGCAGAGGAAAGUAGUGAUAAUAGCUAGCAAAUUUGCUCAAGACUACAAAAGAGCUGAAGAUGUCACUGCAGACGUUGGAGACUGAAACCAAGGGCUUUAAAGGUCAUGGGAUUCAUUUGCAUUCAAUUGGACUAAGCAGAAGCUCAUCAUAAAUUUGUGCAGCAAGAGAGCAGUGCAUGACUGGACAUGCAGGUGUCUCAUUUGUUAUGGC
ensembl:lncRNA